rnacentral:tRNA from 1 species
GGGGGUGUAGCUCAGUUGAUAGAGUUCUUGUCUAGAAUGCAUGAAAUCUUGGGUUCAAUCCCCAACACUUAUA